UCCCUUAGGUAUCUUUCCAGAGCCAGGACUCUUGCCUGGAGCUGCUUGAUGCCCCAGACUGUGAGUUGCAACAGGUGUUGUUGCGCCUCAAUAGCCCUCAGCAGAUUGUUCUGCUGUUGCACUAUACCAGACAAUAAUAGUCUGGCCUGUACCGUCAGCGUCAGUGACGCUGCGCCCAUAGUGCUUCCUGCUGCUCCCAAGAACCCAAGGAAUAAAGCUCCUAGUCCCGCUGCUCUUUUUUCUCUCUGCACCACUCUUCUUUUUGCCCUGGUGGGUGCUACUCCUAAUGGUUCAAUUUUUACUACUUUAUAUUUAUAUAAUUCAUUUCUCCAAUUAUCCUUCAUAUCUCCUCCUCCAGGUCUGAAGAUCUCUGUAUUAUUAUUGUCUGUACUAUUGUUUGUACCCCCAUCUCUUGUUAGUAGCAGCCCUGUAAUAUUUGAUGAACAUUUAAUUGAUCCUUUGAUGGGAGGGGCAUACAUUGCUUUUCCUACUUCCUGCCACAUAUUUACAAUUUGUUUUAUUCUACAUGGGAGUGUGAUCGUGUCAUUUGACUCUUCAGUAUGAUUAGACCCAAUAUUAUUAUAAGACCAAGUACUAUUAAACAGUGAUGUUGUAUUACAGUAGAAAAAUUCCCCUCCACAAUUAAAACUGUGCAUUAC
rnacentral:antisense_RNA from 1 species